CCUACGGGGGGCAGCAGUGGGGAAUAUUGGUCAAUGGAGGAAACUCUGAACCAGCAACGCCGCGUGAAUGAUGAAGGUCUUCGGAUUGUAAAGUUCUUUUCUAAGGGAAGAAGAAAGUGACGGUACCUUAGUAAUAAGCCUCUGCUAACUAGGUGCCAGCAGCCGCGGUAAUACGGAGGAGGCGAGCGUUAUCCGGAAUGACUGGGCGUAAAGGGUGCGUAGGUGGUUUGACAAGUUGGUAGCGUAACUCCGAGGCUCAACCUCGGCACUACUACCAAAACUGUCGGGCUAGAGUGCAGGAGGGGCAGUUGGAAUUCCUGGUGUAGCGGUGGAAUGCGCAGAGAUUAGGAGGAACACCGGUGGCGAAGGCGAAUUGCUGGACUGUAACUGACACUGAGGCACGAAAGCGUGGGGAGCAAACAGGAUUAGAUACCCGUGUAGUC
rnacentral:rRNA from 1 species